rnacentral:miRNA from 1 species
CCCGUGAUUUAGAAUCACGGUCGUGAUUUUCUCUGGGGUUUUCCAAAAAAAUUUUCCGAGAAGAUCACGCCCGUGAUUUAGAAUCACGGU